AAUCUGGGGUCGCCAGACCUCCGAGUUGUAAUUUGGAGAGGCAUCUUCGGGGAGGAGCGCCGGCCCAUGUUCCUUGGAACAGGACGUCGCAGAGGGUGAGAAUCCCGUGCCAGGCCGGCUGCCUCCUCCAUUGUGAAGUGCCUUCGACGAGUCGAGUUGUUUGGGAAUGCAGCUCCAAGUGGGUGGUAAAUUUCAUCUAAAGCUAAAUACCGGCGGGAGACCGAUAGCGCACAAGUAGAGUGAUCGAAAGAUGAAAAGCACUUUGAAAAUAGAGUCAAAAAGUACGUGAAAUUGUUGAAAGGGAAGCGCUUGAGACCAGACUCGGGCCCGGGCAAACAUCGCGCCCCUCGGGGCCGUGCAAUUGCCUGGGGCCGGGCCAGCAUCAGUUGGCGCGGCGGGACAAAGGCGCGGGGAAUGUGGCUCCCCUCGGGGAGUGUUAUUAGCCCCGCGCUCAAUGCCGCCGACGUCGACUGAGGACAGCGCCUCGGCCUGGAUGCUGGCUUAAUGGCCUUCAGCGACCCGUCUUGAAACACGGACCAAGGAGUCUAACAUCUAUGCGAGUGUUUGGGCGUCAAACCCUUGCGCGGAAUGAAAGUGAGCGGAGGUGGGAACCCCCUCGCGGGGCGCACCAUCGACCGAUCCUGAUGUCUUCGGAUGGAUUUGAGUA
rnacentral:rRNA from 1 species